AACGAACGCUGGCGGCGUGCCUAACACAUGCAAGUCGAACGGGGUGAGGUAGCUUGCUACUUCAUCUAGUGGCGCACGGGAGAGUAACGCGUGGAUAGUCUACCUGAUGCUCUGGGAUAACAUCUCGAAAGGGGUGCUAAUACCGGAUAAGCCCACGGACUCUUUGGAGUUUGCGGGAAAAGGAGGGGACCUUCGGGCCUUCCGACAUCAGCUGAGUCCGCGUCCCAUGAGCUAGUUGGUGGGGUAAGGGCCUACCAAGGCGACGAUGGGUGGCUGGUCUGAGAGGAUGAUCAGCCACACUGGAACUGAGACACGGUCCAGACUCCUACGGGAGGCAGCAGUGGGGAAUUUUGCGCAAGGGGGGAAACCCUGACGCAGCAACGCCGCGUGAGUGAUGAAGGCCUUUGGGUCGUAAAGCUCUGUCAGAGGGAAAGAAAUGUGGGGCGCUAAUAUCGUUUCCACUUGACGGUACCCUCAAAGGAAGCACCGGCUAACUCCGUGCCAGCCGCCGCAGUAACAC
rnacentral:rRNA from 1 species